rnacentral:rRNA from 1 species
UCCCCCCCCAUGUUGUUUUUUUAUUGAAACAAAUUUCUUUGGUGGCGGGAGCAAUCCUACCGCCAGAGGUUAUAACUAAACCAAACUUUUUAUUUACAGUCAAACUUGAUUUAUUAUUACAAUAGUCAAAACUUUCAACAACGGAUCUCUUGGUUCUCGCAUCGAUGAAGAACGCAGCGAAAUGCGAUACGUAAUAUGAAUUGCAGAUAUUCGUGAAUCAUCGAAUCUUUGAACGCACAUUGCGCCCUUUGGUAUUCCAAAGGGCAUGCCUGUUUGAGCGUCAUUUCUCCCUCAAACCCCCGGGUUUGGUGUUGAGCAAUACGCUAGGUUUGUUUGAAAGAAUUUAACGUGGAAACUUAUUUUAAGCGACUUAGGUUUAUCCAAAAACGCUUAUUUUGCUAGGGGCCACCACAAUUUAUUUCAUAACUUUGACCUCAAAUCAGGUAGGACUACCCGCUGAACUUAAGCAUAUCAAUAACCGAAGGAAAAAAAACAAACAGGGAUUGCCUUAUUAGCGCCAAGUGAACCGGCAAAAGCUCAAAUUUGAAAUCGGGCUCUUCCAAAGUCCAAGUUGUAAUUUGAAAAAGGUAUCUUUGGGUCUGGCUCUUGUCUAUGUUUCUUGAAACAGAAACGUCA